rnacentral:rRNA from 1 species
UACGGAGGGAGCUAGCGUUUUUCGGAAUUACUGGGCGUAAAGAGCAUGUAGGCGGCUUAUUAAGUUGAAAGUGAAAGCCCAGGGCUUAACCCUGGAACUGCUUUCAAAACUGAUAAGCUAGAGGAUGAUAGGGGACAGUGGAAUUCCUAGUGUAGAGGUGAAAUUCUUAGAUAUUAGGAGGAACACCGGUGGCGAAGGCGACUGUCUGGAUCAUUACUGACGCUGAGAUGCGAAAGCGUGGGGAGCAAACAGGAUUAGAUACCCUGGUAGUCCACGCUGUAAACGAUGAGUACUAGAUAUCGGGAUUUAUUUCGGUGUCGCAGCUAACGCGUUAAGUACUCCGCCUGGGAAGUAAGGUCGCAAGAUUA